AAACAUUAAAAGGUAAGAAUGUAAAAGGAAACGUAUUCGGUUACCCCUUCACAAAUUAAAUUUGGGAUUGAAAUCCCUUAUUCAUCUCUUUUCUUUUCUCUCACGGCCAAAAGGGGUAGGAUAGAAAUCCUAAACUCCCUAGCCACCCUCUUCUUCUCUUCUUCGCCUUGUUCUAGAGACGGGUUUGCGAUUCGGGUCGCGAUGGUUCUUCGACGAGGAGGUGGUUCGUGGUUGGGUCACCUCUUCUCCCCUUCGACGGCAGCAACGGUGGUGAGGUGCAGUGGUUCGAUUGAUGAAAGUGGAAUCACGGUGAAGAACGCCGAUUACCACGAUGGUUUGAAGAAAAGGUAAUCAUUUUCCUUAUUUCUCAUGAACCCUCACCAUCUCCCUCAUAGAGACUUAUUAGGGUUCUAGAUUAGUAGUGAUAAGGGAGUAAUCCCUUUUCUAUUGAAAUUUUGUCUAAUCUUAUUGCCGGUACUAAUUGGUGGUGACGUGUAAUAUGUAAACUAAAACAUAUUUCAAUCAUGUGUUUUUUUUAUUUACGUUCUAAUCCAGUAUAUGUGUUUCUAUGGAAUGAUCGGUGUUAUGUAUGUAAAAAUAUUUGGGUCAAAAGCUAAACUGGACGUAAAUCAUAUUAUCUUGCUUUAAGGUUACGGCAAUGCACCGUUUGUUUUCAUCUAUUUCGUUUUUACUUAAGUAGGUAGAUGUUCCAUUGAAACCACUGUGUAUGAUCAAUUAAAAAACAUUUAUGAAUUAAGCAUAUAAAGCAUAUAGAGCAGGGUAUGUUUAUGGGAUAUGCGUGUAUGCGUUGAUGCUCAGGGCACAUAUAAAACAUUGUUUUUUGUAGUUUGAAUGCUUACCUGAGUGUAUGCUCUCUUCCUUUGUCCUUCUGAAUGUUGGUUCUCUGUUUAUAGAGGCUAUGCCUCUAUGUAUGUGGUGAUAUGUGUGUAUUUGUGUAUGCUCUGAAUGUUCUCUUUUUAUCACUAUGUGGUCUUUGUGUAUAUGCUCAAUUUUUCUGUUGCAAUGUAUGUGUUUCUUGUGCACACACUGUGAUGUUGUAUAUGUUUCUCUCUGGUUGUUGUAUUCUCUGUUUUGGUAUUGUAGUCUCCGUUUUUGUUUCUCUCUGAUUUUCUUAUUGUUGUGUAUGUGUAAUCUGCAUCCUUUUUAUACUGUUUGUAGGCAGACCCUUAGGCUGUCAAUUUUGAUUCAGUAACUGACAAGGAUUAUGCUCUAUGAUUGCCCUUUAUUGCUGCAAUUAAGUUGAUUUUGUAAUUGGCAAGAAUCUUUAGAUCAUCAUUAUGAUUAUUUUAUUAAUUUUUUCAUAUAUAUCAAUAUUACUAUAUUAAUCACUUUUAAUUCUGAA
rnacentral:lncRNA from 1 species